rnacentral:lncRNA from 1 species
AUGAGAUCAAAGACAGACUAUGUGUUUAGCAAACCUUUAAGGUCUUUGUGGCUAUGUAGCUGGACUUCCCUGGUGGCACAGGGGGUAAGAAUCCACCUGUCAAUGCAACGAAUGCAGAUUCAAUCCCUGUUCUGGGAAGACCCCACAGCUGUGGAGCAAUUAACCCCACGUACCACAACUGAGUCUGUGCUCUAGUGCCCGAGAGCCACAACUACUGAGCCCCGAGAUGCAACUGUGAGAGCCUCUGCGCCUAGAGCCCGUUCUCUGCAACGACAGACGCUAUCGCGAUGAGAAGACCGUGUACGGCAACAAAGAGUAGCCCCGCUCACCACGACCACAGAGGACCCAGCGCGGCCAAAAAUAAACAAACAAAUACAGGGCUCAGUGGUUAAGAAAUCUGCCUGCCGAAGCAGGCGUCAAGGAUUCCCAGGGUCGGGAAGAUCCCACAUGCCUUGAGCAAGCAGCUAUGCCGUGGCUGGAGGGAAACAAGGAUGGAUUCCCUUGCUGACUCCUUUCCCAAGCAGAUGCUGGUGAGGGAGCUUCCCCUUCCCCCACACUACCCUCUCCCCCACUUCUGGGCCACUGAAGAGGUUCAGAGGGGGUAGUUUUGAUACAAUCAACAAAGCCUCAGGCCUCCAGCGGCUUUCAUUGCUGUGAUUUAAGAGGAACCUGUAAGCAACUCACAAGGUAGUGCCUCUGGGGGCGGGUGGAGAGGACCGUGGUUUGAUGGGGGAGACCAAGGAGAAAAAAACACCUCAGCUUAGUAUCUCUAUCCCUUUAUUGGAGUAAAUCAUUUCAAUAUCGUAGCCUCACCGUGGUUAGAAGUGACAAAGUGAAUGUUACAAAAAACAGAGAAACUUUUAGCUGCUGAGAAACAUAAUGGCUUAUCAGUUUGCUGUGAUCAUCGCUGGCAUGGUUGGUUGGGGCCCUUUAAGGCUGAGUGACCCGUUCUGGUCACACAGCUCUGAAGAGGGAGUGCCUGGGGAGGCAAGUGUGAUAAAGAAUUGUGUCCACGCCGUCACUCAGCAGCCACCCUUAGACUGAGGCCAUUCAUCCAGUCAGGUGAGGUGGGCCACAGCAUACACCCACACUACACCAGCUCAGCAGUGCCCUUCAAGGGAGGCGGCUGUGCCUUCUGGUCUCACGUGAACUCUCGUUCUGUAUCUUCACCUGCAAUUGUGGUCCCCACUCGUAUCCCUCAGCAUGUGGAAGCUGGCAACUCCUACUGUAUUACUUAUUAAAACAAUGUUUUGUGGGGGCCAUGCCAGGCAGCGUGUGAGAUCUUACCUCCCCAACCAGGGGUGAACCUGUGCCCUCUCCAAUGGAAGCACAAUGUCUUAACCACUGGACCACCAGGAAACUCCUAAUCACGCUGCCAGUUAUCAUUGGCUGCACUUCACUUUGGCAUGCUUUAGAAUUUUUCGUGAACUUGUUUAUUGGCCGUGCUGGGUCUAAGUUGCUGUGAGAGGGCUACUCUCCGGUUGUGCUUCGCAUUGUGCUGGCUUCUCUUGUGGAACGUGGGCUCCAGGGCACCUGAGCUUUUGUAGUUGUGGCCCUCAGGUACUGGAGCACAGGCUCAGUAGUUGUGGCACACAGCAUAGCUGCCUCAAGGCAUGAGAGAUCUUCCCGACCCUGGGAAUGUGUGUCCCCUGCAUUGGCAGGCAGACUCUUAGCCACUGGACCACAAGGGAAGGCCUCCUGUAGAUUUUUCCAAAAAGUUAUUGGCUGUGCUGGGUCUUCGCUCUAGUUUGGGCAAGUGCGGCGCAAGGGCGUCACGUCGUGNNNNNNNNNNNNNNNNNNNNNNNNNNNNNNNNNNNNNNNNNNNNNNNNNNNNNNNNNNNNNNNNNNNNNNNNNNNNNNNNNNNNNNNNNNNNNNNNNNNUCUAGUUUGGGCAAGUGCGGCGCAAGGGCGUCACGUCGUGGUGGUUUCUCUUGUUGCGGAGCACAGGCUCUAAGGCUAGUGGGCUUCAGCAGGCACAUGGGCUCAGCUGGCCCUAGUCCUCAACAACAUGGUCUCGGCAGUGGAGGGGCACAGGUUUAGCAGCUUUGAGGCAUGUGGGAUCUUCCUGGACCAGGGAUCGAACCAGUGUCCCCUGCAUUACAAGGCAGAUUCUUAACCACUGGACCAUCAGGGACACCUUUCUUUAGGUUUUAAAUCUUAUUUCACUUAAUUCCUCCAGGUAAUAUCCUCCUGCUAACCUGAACUUCCUGACAUGUUCAUACAGUAGCCAGGUGGACCACCUUCAUGUGUCCCACUAUAAAUGCUUAGCUCCAUAAACACAAUUUAAAUCUACUGCUGGUUUUUAAGGUGGGAAACAAGAUAGCCAGGGAAUGCACUUAAAUUUUAAUAAUUUUGUGGCCUCAUAGAGAAUGGAAUCAAAAAGGAGUAUAACUGGUUGCAGAAAGGCUGACUGAAGCUGUUGCCUUGCUGCAGGUGAGCAGACUGUCCCCCAAGGACUCUCAACUGAAAGGAAACUAGCAAUCUAUCUGUCAUGAACUGUCAAUCAGAAUCUAAAGCU